GCCGGGAGUGGUGGCGCACACCUGUAAUCCCAGCGUCUCGGGAUGCUGAGACAGGAGGACCGUGAGUUCAAAGCCAGCCUCAGCAAUGGUGAGGCACUAAGCAACUGAGUAAGACCCUGUCUCUA
rnacentral:sRNA from 1 species